CCGUGCUCGGCGGAGCUCCCGAGCCUGCGUCUUGCUGCCCCGUCGCAUGUUGCUUACUCGGAACCGUUUGGUCCCGGUGCAGCGGUGGCGGGCAUGUGAUCGCGGGCUCGGUUGUGGCCGUGUCGGCAUAUGAGUGGUUUUGGAUCCGAAUGUCCUGACGGGCUCCCUGCCUAUGUGCAGCCAACCGUCGGCGACGCGGUCCGUUCAUUUUCGUCGCCCGAGGAUCCUUUGAGUCUCGGUGCGUUGCUAAGUUGCCUGUGCGUAAAACCCCAUUUUAUGGGAACGACAUCUCUCGACCAUGCGCUCGACUCGCCCCAUCCUGCCUACAGGCACAGAGGGGCGGCACUACAUGCGAUCCUCAAGUUUUCCCCGGGAUGCGGGUGGUCAUGUUCGGCCGUCCGCACUCGGUGGGUGCUCGAGGCAUCGCAAGGACUUGCGGAAGCAGUGUAUGCGGAGAUCCCGUGGGCCGUGGCCUUCGGCCUCCUCUCGGUUGCGAUUCGGCUAUAAAAAAAAGUUGAUCCCGUUCGAAUGACUCUCGAGCCGCCGUAACCUCUCACCUCCCCUCCUGGGGAAGGCGCGGGGCACGACGACCGAUGUCAUCGAGGGCGUGC
rnacentral:misc_RNA from 1 species